GCCUGGGUGGCUCAGUCGGUUAAGCGUCUGACUUCAGCUCAGGUCACGAUCUCACGGUUCGUGGGUUCGAGCCCCGCGUCGGGCU
rnacentral:tRNA from 1 species